rnacentral:lncRNA from 10 species
UGAGCAAACAUGUGGCCAUGAAACAGAUGGUCAUAGAAUUGGUUCAGUGGUUGUGAGUGCAGCAACCCAAGAGUGUCUUAUCUGAAAUACCACCAGGAAUGCCUGGACACAGUAGACAAAGGUUGUUCAACUGGACGCCUUAGGAUACAUGCUUCCAAAAACAAAGUAGCUGAAAAGAAACUAGAAUAACAGGAUAUCAGAGCCAGAGGAGCAUUUGGAGGUAAGUCAGUACCUCCUCCUUUUUGUCCUACAGGGGAGAUAGUGGAACAGAAGCAGGGAUGGGCCUGCCUUCUGUGCCCACAAUUCACUGGGGAUUGUUGUGGUGAAGAAUUUCAUUUAUAAUGAAGGAGAAAUAAACCCCCAUCACCUUAAAUUCAGGCAGGUUUAUUGGUGUUUAAAAUUUUCCCACUGAUGGGCUUUUUAUUUCUUAAAUUCAUUUUUUCCUGUGUGUUUCAUUUGUGUUCAUUGCUAUUGCUGUUUCCUUUAAUUCAUUAAUCUUUUCCUCUGCAAUGUUCAAUCCAGUGCAUUUUUUAAAAUUUCAGACAGUAAAAUGUAGUUUUCACUUAUGGAAUUUGAUAUUUUAAAAAUAUCUCCCACAUCUUCAUUUAAUUAAAAUUAUAAUAACUGCUCUAAUGUUAUUGCCUGCUAUUUCUAACAUGUGUGUCGUUUUCAACUGAAUUAUUUCAUUCUUCAU